GUGUUGACUGUUGUGGUAUGAGAGCAGAGAAAAUGCACUGUGUUUUUCCUGAAACACAAGACUUGGAGGCCCACAUCACUCUUGCCCCGAGUAGUGUUUUUCUCUCAAGAUGCUCAGAAGGAAUCUUUAAACAAAGAUGAUCAAGGAAAUGAAGCUUAUUUAUGGGUCUGUUUUGAAGGUGGAACCAGGGAUUCCUCGAUUGGCCAAUGACUUGAGUGAGUAGGAGGAGCCGUCACUCCAUCAUACCAAUCAGAAGCCAAGUAUUGGUUCCCACCCUAUGACAUACCACCUCCAAUUGGCCAAUAGAAGCAGAGAGAAGGGCUAGGAGGUGGGGCCUGCCUGGCCGCCAUGGUAAUCCCCUGUGGUUGGUGAUCAAGGAAGAGCUUCCAUGUAGCACCGGUAGUGCCAGAUCCAGGUGUUUACACUGAUGUCUGAUGAGGAUGAGUCCAGCGACUAUCUCUGCCUGUCCAUCCUGAGCCUCUUCUGUUGCCUUCCCUUCGCCAUCCCAGCCGUGAUCUUUUCUUGCCUGACAAAGAAGUACAAUAAAUCCAGUGACUAUGAGCUGGCAGCCAAGACCUCCAAACAAGCCUUCUACUGGGCCAUCACGAGCAUCACUGUGGGAAUCUUAGGCACCAUCUUGUACACCUACCUAUUAUACUUACUUAGAUAGUAAACUGCUUCCCAGCUCUUGGACAAACCACCAAAUACACACCGCAGUGCAAUUUA